rnacentral:tRNA from 1 species
GACUCUGUAGCUCAGCUGGUAGAGCAAUACACUCUUAAUGUAUGGGUCCUGAGUUCGAACCUCAGCGGGGUCA